UUAAGCAUAUCAAUAAGCGGAGGAAAAGAAACCAACAGGGAUUACCUCAGUAACGGCGAGUGAAGCGGUAACAGCUCAAAUUUGAAAGCUAGCUCUUCUAGGGUUCGCAUUGUAAUUUGUAGAAGAUGCUUCGGGUGUGGCCCCGGUCUAAGUUCCUUGGAACAGGACGUCAUAGAGGGUGAGAAUCCCGUAUGUGACUGGGUGCUUUCGCUCAUGUGAAGCUCUUUCGACGAGUCGAGUUGUUUGGGAAUGCAGCUCAAAAUGGGUGGUAAAUUUCAUCUAAAGCUAAAUAUUGGCCAGAGACCGAUAGCGCACAAGUAGAGUGAUCGAAAGAUGAAAAGCACUUUGGAAAGAGAGUUAAACAGUACGUGAAAUUGUUGAAAGGGAAGCGCUUGCAACCAGACUUGCGCGCUGAUGAUCAUCCGGGCUUCUGCCCGGUGCACUCGUCUGCGCUCAGGCCAGCAUCGGUUUCGGUGGUGGGAUAAAGGCCUUGGGAAUGUAGCUUCUUUCGGGGAGUGUUAUAGCCCUCGGUGCAAUGCCGCCUACCGGGACCGAGGACCGCGCUUCGGCUAGGAUGCUGGCGUAAUGGUUGUAAGCGACCCGUCUUGAAACACGGACCAAGGAGUCUAACAUCUAUGCGAGUGUUUGGGUGUCAAACCCAUACGCGUAAUGAAAGUGAACGGAGGUGAGAACCCUUAAGGGUGCAUCAUCGACCGAUCCUGAUGUCUUCGGAUGGAUUUGAGUAAGAGCAUAGCUGUUGGGACCCGAAAGAUGGUGAACUAUGCGUGAAUAGGGUGAAGCCAGAGGAAACUCUGGUGGAGGCUCGCAGCGGUUCUGACGUGCAAAUCGAUCGUCAAUUUGCGUAUAGGGG
rnacentral:rRNA from 1 species